rnacentral:rRNA from 1 species
UAAUCUAUUUAAUUCUGGUUGAAGAAGAUAAGGAAGCAAGGUCACAUAAAAUAUUUGUAUAAAUAUUCAUAAAGGAUAACCUUUUGUGAUAAUUAGUGUCUAAAACUUAGGUUUCGGAGAAAUCCGGAUUAGGUUGUUUUCUAAAGGAGUGGUGAAUACACAGUGCCAGCAUCCGCGGUUAUUCUGUUAACUUUAAUCUUCGGGAAUAGGUGUAAAAAAUAUAGGAGGUAUUAACCAGUUUUGAGUAGAAUCUUUCUGUGUUGAAAAAGAGCUCCUAGUUGUAUUUUUAAGGGCGUAUAUAUUAAGGGGAUUAGAUACCCCCGUAAUGUGCUUUAAGUUUUGCUCCUUAGUAGAAACUAAAAGGAUUUGGCAGCCGAUGAGGUUCUUCCGGGGGAGUGUGUAUCGUAAGAGACAGUCCGCUUAUGAAUUGACCCCAUCUAUUUAUGUUAGUGUAUAUCCGGUUUAAAAUUUGUGGUUAAUAUCUAUGAGUGUAACGAUGAAUGUUUAAGCCAGGUCUAUGUGCUGCUUAUGUUGGGGGGCUUAUGCACUACAUUAUUAAAGGUGUUAGCUGGUUGUUUGCUGAUAAUGUUUAGGACUCGGAAGUAGGCUUGAGAAAGAUAGUGUUUUCGGUCGAAUUAGAUUUAGUUGGGGUACACACCGCCCGUCACCCAGGGCGUUAGCUGUGGUAAGUCGUAACAUGGUAAUGCUAGGGGAACCUGGUGUUAGUUAAUCCAACAGUUAAUGCUGUUUCAGGAUUU